UCCGUCGUCUAACGUGAAGGAAAGACACGCACCCACCAUGAGGACUCUGCUGGCCGUUGGUUUUAUCCUUUGCCUCGCCGUCUCAACUGUCCUCGCCGGUGGUUUCGGCGGAGGCUUGGGACGAGGCAUUGGUUUGGGCCACGGUGGUGGCCUCGGAUACGGAGGUGGCCUUGGUGGUGGCUACGGCGGCGGCCUUGGCAGCGGUCUUGGCGGCGGAUACGGUGGCGGCUACGGUGGCUCUUACGCUGGUUCCUACGCUGGAAAUUACGGAGGAGUGCAUGGCGGUCACUUCGGUUGAUAUGGCCUAAGGGUACGUUAUAACUUCGCUGCGAAAGACAACACAAGGAAAAGACAGUCAAAGUGUACAAAACAUGUAUUUAGAUCAGAAUAAAUAACUUCCACC
rnacentral:misc_RNA from 1 species